rnacentral:tRNA from 1 species
GGGUCGCUAGCUCAGCCGGUAGAGCACCGCACUUUUUAAUGCGAUGGUCAUGCGUUCGAAUCGCAUGCGACCCA